CCGGCUGGGGGAAACCACGACACCAGCAAUGUAGUCAUGUAACCAAAUUAAAGCCAAAACUUUCAGCCCGGUCCUUGACCUGAAUAGGGAGUGAGGAUCCGGAUCCUGGCAUUUAUGUGUGAUACUUUAUAUGCAGCCAAAGUAAAUACUGCAGUCAGAGGUCAUGGCGCUAGAUUUUGAAAAGUCCUGCAUAAAGAAGAGAUCUCAGAAAAGCAAAUUUAAACAACAUUAAUGUCAAGAAAAGUCUUUCUGAUUGCUAUAUUCUUUAUCUGUCGUGACUAGACAGAUGAAAAUCUAUGAUGGCAAUUUUGCCUUUUAGGUCAUUUUAUUUUUUCUUUUAUUUAUGUGUAUUUAUCUUAUUUUAACAGGCUCUGUACUAAUUUUCCUCACAGAAUGACUAACUAGCAGAAAUAUGACCCUUAUGUGCCUUUUGUAAUUAAUUCAUUAGGUCAACUCUAACCACUAAGCCCCUUGUCAGGUUAUUUCUAUUAGCCAUAAGAAGCAAUUGAACCUAAAACACUGAAGCCAGGUUGAUGAGCCUAUUCCACAAGGUCUCUUGGUUCCACACUAGAGAAAUCUGCCAGGUGGGGAUCAUUUGACCUUUGCUAUAUAGGAAGCAUGAGGCGUUAUGGGAAGAAUUGCCACUGCAGAGGAGUUUGAGGUUCAGGUUACUUAAGGUGCUUUUCUACAGUCGUGGUGGAAUGAACUCCAUGUUCCUGAGUAGGCUGCUUUUUUCUUCAUGUUUUUUAUCAUCUCUGUGAAAUAGUUUUGGAGACUCUAUGAGCAAGUUACAUUGGUGGUGACUUCUCAGAACAGGAAAACUCUGUUGGUGUUACUUUCGGUGAAUUAGCUUGGCAGUGACUCAAGUUCAGAAGCUGGCAGUGUCCAAGUUGGAGUGCAACAUUUUUCAUCGUGCUCUCAGAUCAGGAUUCUGAUUCUAACAAUGGUUCCUAAUGCAAAUUUCCAGAGAAGAGGGAAGCAAACCAGUCCUGACUGCUUUGAAUGGGAUGGAGAGAGCAAACAAACACAAAUGAAGAAGAUAAACCUGUAGGAAUGUUUUCAGAUAAUUGCCACUGUCCAAAAGCUUUAAAGUGGUUGAAUCCUUGAAAGUUCAUUACUGAAAACUCCGGCUGCAUCACUGAAUUUGAAGAAGUAAGAUAGACUUGCACCAUCGCAGAGCCUCAGUCACAGUUUAAGUGGGCACUGCCUCUAACUUAACAAGAAUGGAAGAGAAAAGGUCAUCUUUCUGCCUUGUCAGCUACUGGCAGACCUAGAGAAAGAAAAAACAAGAGUUGUUAACAUUACGAUGUAAUGUUUUUUUUUAGGACUUCUCACCAAAUGUGUAAUAUUGAGUAGUAACCGGACAACAAAUGAAAGGGAAAAUGAAAGAGUAGAAGGUACUUGCAUGGCCUUAAUUUACGUGGCAAUUGACAACAACCACAAUCCGCAAUGAUUUCUAAGUGCCUUACACCUGGAGGCACAAAAACGGGAUUCCCGUAUUAGCUAAGGGGAGUACAAUCCCUCUCAAAACAUGAGAGUCUGGGGUACGUGACUGAGUACUGAAAAUCUUAAGACUAGGAUGUUCACGUACCAGAAAGGAAACUCACAUUUUAGCACUAAACAACUAUCUUUAGAGACAGGCUGGGAACUGGUUCUUUUUAACCCAGGGUCCAUUUCAGCAUCUUCAGAUCUAAAGAAAUGGUUGACUGCUCUGUUGAAUUGUGUUCCAGGCAGAAAGACUCACGUUCCUAUUAACAUAAAGAGCUUAAUACCUUGCUUCUGUCCUAAAGAUGAGUUUUGGAUUCAAACGUACCCCCUCCAAGAUGAGCAACUACCUUAACUUUGUGGGGUUUAUAUUCUGCGUAAGAGGUUUGUAACGUCAAGCUUCACAGCUUCUCCUCUGGAUGCAGGAAGGAGGUUACAGAUGUAUAAAAGGGCAAGACAACUGCCAAAACUACAUUGCAUUGCCACAAAACUGCUUCAACGUAUCCCUGCAAGCACAGAAACUCCUUUGCAAACCACCACAGAUUAGACAUUAGGGCUAAAGAGUGUGGAAAGGAUUGUUUAACAACUUUAUGCAUACUGCCAACUUUAUGAGCCAGUCAAAUUGAGAUGAGAGCUUGAGAUCCCAACUGUGGCUUGGAUAUG